rnacentral:rRNA from 1 species
UACGGGGGGGGCAAGCGUUGUUCGGAAUUACUGGGCGUAAAGGGCUCGUAGGUGGCCAACUAAGUCAUACGUGAAAUCCCUCGGCUUAACCGGGGAACUGCGUCUGAUACUGGAUGGCUUGAGGUUGGGAGAGGGAUGCGGAAUUCCAGGUGUAGCGGUGAAAUGCGUAGAUAUCUGGAGGAAUACCGGUGGCGAAGGCGGCAUCCUGGACCGGCAUUGACGCUGAUGAGCGAAAGCUAGGGGAGCAAACGGG